GCUAACUUCGUGCCAGCAGCCGCGGUAAUACGAAGGGUGCAAGCGUUGCUCGGAAUUAUUGGGCGUAAAGGGUUGGUAGGUGGUCUUGUUUGUCUAAGGUGAAAUCCCAUGGCUUAACUGUGGAAGUGCCCUAGAAACGGCAAGACUAGAGUCCUAGAGGGGUUUGUGGAAUUCCCGGUGUAGCGGUGAAAUGCGUAGAGAUCGGGAGGAACACCAGCGGCGAAGGCGGCAAACUGGAUAGGUACUGACACUCAACAACGAAAGCGUGGGGAUCAAACAGGAUUAGAUACCCUGGUAGUCCACGCUGUAAACGAUGGGUACUAGGCUUUGUGGGAAUAGACCCCUGCAGAGCCGGAGCUAACGCAAUAAGUACCCCGCCUGGGAAGUACGGUCGCAAGACUAAAACUCAAAGGAAUUGACGGGGGCCCGCACAAGCGGUGGAUCAUGUGGUUUAAUUCGAAGCAACGCGCAAAACCUUACCUGGGUUUGACAUCCUCGGACAAACGUAGAAAUACGUCUUUUGUAGCAAUACAACCGAGAGACAGGUGCUGCAUGGCUGUCGUCAGCUCGUGUGGUGACAUGUUGGGUUAAGUCCCGCAACGAGCGCAACCCUUGCCUUUAGUUGCCAGCAUUAAGUUGGGCACUCUAGAGGGACUGCCGUGGUUAACACGGAGGAAGGUGGGGAUGACGUCAAGUCCUCAUGGCCUUUAUAUCCAGGGCGACACACGUGAUACAAUGGAUGACACAAAGGGAAGCGAACCCGCGAGGGGGAGCGAAUCUCAAAAAGUCAUUCUCAGUUCGGAUUGGAGUCUGCAACUCGACUCCAUGAAGCUGGAAUCGCUAGUAAUCGUGGAUCAGAACGCCACGGUGAAUACGUUCCCGGGCCUUGUACACACCGCCCGUCACACCAUGGGAGCUGACUCAACCAGAAAACGAUCAGGCUAACCGCAAGGAGGCCUUCGUUGAAGGUGGGGUUGGUGACUGGGGUGAAGUCGUAACAAGGUAACC
rnacentral:rRNA from 1 species